AACGAACGCUGGCGGCAGGCCUAACACAUGCAAGUCGAACGCCGUAGCAAUACGGAGUGGCAGACGGGUGAGUAACACGUGGGAACAUACCCUUCGGUUCGGAAUAACUCAGGGAAACUUAGAGCUAAUACCGGAUACGUCCGCGAGGAGAAAGAUUCAUCGCCGGAGGAUUGGCCCGCGUCUGAUUAGCUUGUUGGUGAGGUAAUGGCUCACCAAGGCGACGAUCAGUAGCUGGCCUGAGAGGAUGAUCAGCCACAUUGGGACUGAGACACGGCCCAAACUCCUACGGGAGGCAGCAGUGGGGAAUAUUGGACAAUGGGCGCAAGCCUGAUCCAGCCAUGCCGCGUGAGUGAUGAAGG
rnacentral:rRNA from 1 species